rnacentral:rRNA from 1 species
UACGUAGGUCGCAAGCGUUAUCCGGAUUUACUGGGUGUAAAGGGCGUGUAGGCGGGACUGCAAGUCAGAUGUGAAAACCACGGGCUCAACCUGUGGCCUGCAUUUGAAACUGUAGUUCUUGAGUACUGGAGAGGCAGACGGAAUUCCUAGUGUAGCGGUGAAAUGCGUAGAUAUUAGGAGGAACACCAGUGGCGAAGGCGGUCUGCUGGACAGCAACUGACGCUGAGGCGCGAAAGCGUGGGGAGCAAACAGG